CCAAGAGGGGGGAGGCCCAGAUGGCGGGCGGCGCAGAGGAGGCCUCAGCCCCGCCUCUGGCCAAAAAGGAACACCCCUCCCCCUUUGCCACUUGCACGCUACCGGAAGCUAGAGGGGACUCUGACGCCAACGCGCAAAAGCGUCCUUCCAUUUCCGUUUCUGCUGGCGACCAUAGAGUUUCAUUUUCGGCGGCUCACUACCGCCGCCCGCCGAAGAAACAGCUCUGAUUUUUUUCCAUGGUGCUGGCUUUGGAGGAAGAACCGCAAGUGCAGUGCGCAUCGAUGGGCAGUCAUGGCCUCCGAUGCCCAGGUAGUCAUGGGCAAAAGAGAGAGCAGUUAAGGGAAGCCGCCGGGAGCGGGACUCACUAUUAACAUCUUUACUGAAGAUUGCAAUCAGUUAUAUAAGCAGUGUGCAGUCAUGAGCAUGUCUGAAGGUACUCUUUAGCUCCAACAACUCUCCUUCUCUAGGAAUCAAUUACUGAAUACUAGUAUUGCAUCAUACUGAAAUGGAGAGAACAAUGAUGGGAGAAAGAGAGUGAAAUGGUAACCUACUUCCUGCAGCAAAAGAAGGUGUCAUCAAAAAGACAGGCUGGAGGCAAAGGGAAAAAAUUUGGCUAACAUUUUGAACAAGGAAGAGCUAAAGUUAAGGCUGAGGAAGGAAGGAUAGACAAAGAAGGAGAUUUGUCUGACAAAAGAGCAUUUGACCCGAUUAGUGUCCUGCACAAAGGCCAAUGGGAAAGAUACAGAAGUGGUUACAGGCGACAUCAACAUGCUGGUGUGUAUUGGACUAAAAGUAAAACUACCUUACCUUCAAAAUGGAAAAGAUUUAAGAAGGUUAAUACAUAUUGGACUGUGCAGUGCAAUUUUCACAAGAAGCAAUCACAGGUUUUAGAUUUAAGCUUAGCUUUGAGAGUUCCCAGCAUGUAUCCAUGUGAAUUACCAAUUUUCUCUGUAUGUGUAGUGCAGCCCCAAAUGCAAGUGAAUGAGAAGCCCGUGAGUUCCAUCUGCAUCAGAGCCACUGAAGGACUGUAUUUUUUUUUUAAAAAAAACACAUAAUAUGGUCAUGUUCAAUCCCACUGGUGUUCCUUGGCCAGGUAUUGUGAAUCCCUGGAUGCAAUAUGUUGCUUGUUUUGCCUCUUGCUAUUUGUCUUGACAAUGGGUUGCCAAAAGCAGCAGAAGCUAUUCAGAAGCCCCUUCAAAUGGUUAGCAGCCAUUGACUCUGAAGCAGCUAUCCUAAGCACAUAUAUCAAGUGAAGAGCCCCUUUCAACACCCCCACUCUUGCAUGUAAGCCCACUAUGAGUGUAGAUACUAUACUCAUGUACAUGGAGCAACUUAGCUGUAUUCUCACCCAAUCAUCCCCUUCUUUGUCACUGAGGUAAUGACUGGCUGGGAAAGAUCCUCACGAUUAGUCUUGCCCUACACGGUUAUGAUAUUCACACACAAUACCACCACCACGUGACAUUGCACUACAGGAAACAGGCUCCCUUGUAGCUGUAGGGUGUCCAAAGGCUUUGUGAGCCUUUGAAGUCAGUAGGUGUCACUUGCAAGCAAACUCACUUAUUAUCUGGUCUCAAACCUAAAAGCUCUCAUUGUCAAAUUUGAUUUAACAGUUCCUUCAUAAAUAUCACAUUUAAAAACAGUUUUAAAUUCAGUUUUAAUUAUCCCCUAUGGAACAUUAAUCACCACUGAUGGCCUUGCUGCAAAUAAUUUAUGCACACCAUCUAUAUCUGCCAAUUUGUUUAGGAUGCCUUUCCAAACAAUAAAUAGGCAGUCUGUGUUAGGGGAAAAACUGUCAAUAGCUUCAACUAUCACCUGAAUGAGAGAACUGAUUAACUUUUGUAAUUAUCUGAGACAUUUAAGUUAGCUUAAAUAACUGACAGCUGUUUUUUUCUAGGACUGCCAACCAAUUAAAGAGUUUAAGUUGAUUACUUGCCUUUUUCCCUGAUUAAUAAUUCAAAUUAAAUGCAUAUUAUAAAACUGCCAAAUUGGUGCCUUUUUUGAGACACUGAAGGAACUGUACAGUAACUUACAAUCAAAACAUGCUUACCAUUGAACUUAUUUCUGAGCAAACAUAUACAGAAUUAUACUGCAAUCAGUGUGCUAUCAUCAUUGCUAAAAGAAAAUAAGUAUUUCAGUUAUGCACCAGAACCAAGAUCACUUCAAAAGAUAUAGAUGUAAACAUAGCCUCGUGGGUCCAAUGAAUGACAUGUGCUACAAUAUUACUGCUUAACAGACAUAAACCUGACUGUUGGGAGAGUACUGGAAAUCUUGUAUACAAUAAAAAGUUCACAGUCUCACCAA